GGACUACUGGGGUAUCUAAUCCUGUUCGCUCCCCACGCUUUCGUCCAUCAGCGUCAAUCCACUAGUAGUAACCUGCCUUCGCAAUUGGUAUUCCAUGUAAUAUCUAAGCAUUUCACCGCUACACUACAUAUUCUAGUUACUUCCUAGUAAUUCAAGUCUUGCAGUAUCAAUGGCCGUUCCACCGUUGAGCGAUGGGCUUUCACCACUGACUUACAAAACCGCCUACGGACCCUUUAAACCCAAUGAUUCCGGAUAACGCUUGGAUCCUCCGUAUUACCGCGGCUGCUGGCAC
rnacentral:rRNA from 2 species